GACAAGGAAGAAGGAGGAGUUAAAUCACACCAACACCUGACAUAGACAUCCAUUCUCACUGUAAGAGUGUUCACACUGGGCUUUGAAAGGUCACAGGUCAUUUGUCUAAUGGAUUACUCCCCUGUACCGAGGCAUUCAUUACUGCCUCUGACCUCACUGUAGAAUAAUAUUGGAUUUACUGCCUCAUAUUGUUUUACCUAGAAGGGAAGAGAAAUCCGUUUUCUCCUCGGGAAAACAA